rnacentral:rRNA from 1 species
GCCCGCUCAGAAACUCAAAGGAAUUGACGGGGCCCGGCACAAGCGGUGGAGCAUGUGGUUUAAUUCGAUGAUACGCGAGGAACCUUACCUGGGCUCAAAUGUAUGUUGACGUAUUCUGAAAGGGAUACUUCUUCGGACAAUAUACAAGGUGCUGCAUGGUUGUCGUCAGCUCGUGCCGUGAGGUGUCGGGUUAAGUCCCAUAACGAGCGCAACCCCUAUCAUUAGUUGCCAUCAGGUCAAGCUGGGGACUCUAAUGAAACUGCCUACGCAAGUAGUGAGGAAGGUGGGGAUGACGUCAAAUCAGCACGGCCCUUACGUCCAGGGCUACACACGUGCUACAAUGGCCGGUACAAAGGGCAGCUACCUGGUGACAGGAUGCUAAUCUCAAAAGCCGGUCUCAGUUCGGAUCGGAGUCUGCAACUCGACUGCGUGAAGUCGGAAUCGCUAGUAAUCGUGAAUCAGAAUGUCACGGUGAAUACGUUCCCGGGCCUU